rnacentral:tRNA from 1 species
UGCACUGUAGCUUAGUGGUCAGAGCACAGCUUAGAAGUCAGUCCGCCUAGGCUCAAAUCCCAGCUCUGUCA